AACGCAACUUGCGCCCUAUGGUAUUCCGUUGGGCAUGCCUGUCUGAGUGUCCUUAAUCUAUUCAAUAUACUAUAUUUGUAAUGAAUGUAGAGAGAUUGGAGAUUGAGUGUAGAGUGUGUUGUGCAUUCUCACUUGAAAGAUAGUCGGCCCAUAAACUAUUCACGGCUUGACUCAAUGUUGUAAAUAAAUCGCCUCAUUGGGAACGUGAAGAUUUUGGGUAAGCAGAUUUUUUUAAGCGAUGUUGACCUCAGAUCAGGUAGGAUUACCCGCUGAACUUAA
rnacentral:misc_RNA from 1 species